rnacentral:tRNA from 1 species
UAAGGGAGGACAUUAUGCUUGGCAUUGUGAUGACUUCUGUGGUAGGUAUUCUCCUCAAGUACCUGCUGAUGGAU